UUAAAAUUCUGGACGUACGAGGGAAUGUGAGCCAAGCCUGUGCAAUUCCAAAAAUUCAUUCUCUCGAGAUUUGGAGUUUCUGAUGGCUCUGGGAUUCUAGUGAGAUUGGUUGAGUGAUUGAGGUCAACAUAUUUUAACUUUGGAGCUUUCUACAAAAGGAAAUGAAGAAUAUUACCAAGCAUCAAAAGAAAUAUAUUUAAGGAAGUAUAAACAAAUGUUUACCUUUUUUCCUUCCCAGAUUUGCUCAACUUUACUAUAAGGAAAGUUGAGUUCGAUAAGAUUCUGAGGGACAAAAUCCAAUGGCAAAGUUUUCAAAGGAUAUCCAUGCCAGUAAAGAUAUCUUAAUUCCUCAGGAAGAUAUUCUAAACCUUGUUGAAGGUACACUUUAGAACUCAUUUUCGAAAUGUCAAAGUGUCCCGAGAUAUAGAAUUUAAGCAAUCUAAGAUUAGACAUAUUUGAAAAUACUCUAGGGUCUAGAUUUAUUUCUUCGAUUUUCGACAAAUCUAAGAAUAUGCUUUUAAUUGCAUCAGUCCCCUGGUAAACAAAAGAAAGAAUGAGUUAGCAUGAAAUGCACAAAAACGGUCAUUAAGAUUGUUUUCAACGGAAACAAAAAUUUGAAUGGGUCGAUUUUUCUUUAUCCAACAUAUAUUUGUAACAAUUAAAAGAAAAGCAAAUUUAUCAAGCUUUCAAGUACCUUGUUUUUCUCCAAUACAUGACAAACAUCCUUGUAAUCCCACAACCGGCUACGUUUUUCUGGCUUUUCUCUAAAUUCUUCAGCAAAAACUCAUUUCUAAGGUUUCAAGAUUGGGUAGGCACUCGAUUGAUAAGGGAACUUCUUCUAUUGGAGUACACAUUAGGUUUAGUUCUACUACAUUGCCUGAAAUCCUUGGAAACUCUCUGAGAUUAACACACUUGUAGCAAUCAAUCUUAAUGGAAGAUAUGAAAUGAAUGUUCUGCGGAAAGCACCUAAGACUUUCACAGCCAGCCAUAAUCAUGUUACCAAGUUUGUUAAAAUUCUGGACGUACGAGGGAAUGUGAGCCAAGCCUGUGCAAUUCCAAAAAUUCAUUCUCUCGAGAUUUGGAGUUUCUGAUGGCUCUGGGAUUCUAGUGAGAUUGGUUGAGUGAUUGAGGUCAACAUAUUUUAACUUUGGAGCUUUCUACAAAAGGAAAUGAAGAAUAUUACCAAGCAUCAAAAGAAAUAUAUUUAAGGAAGUAUAAACAAAUGUUUACCUUUUUUCCUUCCCAGAUUUGCUCAACUUUACUAUAAGGAAAGUUGAGUUCGAUAAGAUUCUGAGGGACAAAAUCCAAUGGCAAAGUUUUCAAAGGAUAUCCAUGCCAGUAAAGAUAUCUUAAUUCCUCAGGAAGAUAUUCUAAACCUUGUUGAAG
rnacentral:lncRNA from 1 species